GCCUUCAUGUCAUGUCUUAACAACUGGAGGUUGCGACACACACACAAGUCACACUCACACACAAACACACAAACACACGCGCACACAUGCACGCACACCGGGUGCUGCGAUUUUAAAUCCACCUGUUCACGCGCCUUCUCCCUGCGCUUCCCUCCUGCCGACGGAGAAACCAGCUUUUAUUGACGCCUAGUGCAUGAAGUGGCGAGGAGCUCCACCACCGCACCGCACCGCACCGCACCGCACCGCGCCGCACCGCAGAUACAGCAGGACUCCCUCCGCCGCCGCUGAUGGAUGGAUUACCUACACGCUCACCUCUCCCGGAUGGUUUGGCGCAUUCCCUCGUCACAUCAGAUUCCUGAGGAAACUGCUGCCUUCCCAUGAUUACAUGAUCACCAUCUCACCAACACUGUGGACACUGAUCGCUGAUCAUGCGAAGUGCACUGAUUUGAGAUCAGCUCCUUUGACUCCAGUCACAUCCCCGCCGCCGCCGCUGCUGGGUGGACGCGCGGCUGAUCAUCUGGAGAGGUUUCCUGCAACAAUUUGUUGCAAACAUUGCGAAGGGCGAAGUCAUGGUGCCGGUGCCGCCUCGGAUUCUCAUGGCACCGUGAGAACUUUCUCUCUUCUCCCCCCUCUUUUAUUUUAGAUGUUUGUCAGCGGGAUCGUGCUUCUUUGGGGAAUUAUCCAUCGUUUCCCUUUUCAAUUAUGUUCACUUUUGCUGCCUUCUGCUACAUGCUGUCUCUGGUCCUCUGCGUGUCCCUGAUCUUCUUUGCAAUAUGGCACAUAACGGCUUUUGAUGAGCUCCAGGCUGACUUCAAGGUGCCAAUCGAUCAGGGCAAUCCGCUCCAUGCGAGGGAGAGACUGCGAAACAUCGAGAGGAUCUGCAACCUGCUGAGGAAGUUGGUGCUACCAGAGUACUCCAUCCAUGGGCUCUUCUGUAUCAUGUUCCUGUGCGCCCAGGAGUGGCUGACCGUGGGCCUCAACAUCCCCCUGCUCUUCUACAACACAUGGAGUAGGUACUUCCAUUCCCCAACGGACACUAAGGAGCUGCUCUACGACCCGGCGUCCGUGAUGAACGGCGACACGCUCAAGUUCUGCCUGAAGGAGGCCUGGUGCAAGCUGUCCUUCUUCGUCCUCUCCUUCUUCUACUAUCUCUACUGUGUGUGGAACCUGGAAAUAUCCCUCUAAUAGGUCUUAUCAAUGGAAACACUUAAAGAGACCACUGACAGCAGCAGCAGCGGCAGCGGCAGCAGAAGUGAGUAUGAUCUACUCCUUGGUUACCUCAUAACAACUGAUUUAUCAGCAACUGCAGAGAAAUAGAAAAGCCUCUGGAUACACAGACUGCCGUUGUGUCAGUCUAGAAUUGAACCCACAGGAAAUUUAAAGUAAAGAAGAUAAGAAAAAAAAACAAACUUGUUUUUGCUGUGAAGCCAAACGAUGAACAUGUCGGGGCUGAAGCUUCUUCUCUGCUUUGCCCCCCAAAGAGGAAAAAAGGACAUGUUUUAUGCUCAACUGUAUAUAAAAAACUGAAGACUAAAUCUGCUGUUUACAGUUUGAUUGGUCACAGCGAGACCCAAAUUAAAUCACUGCCUGGCCAACGUUUGUACCACACACACACACACACACACACACACACACACACACACAGACACACAUCCUCUGGAGUGAUACUGUGCUCACUGUACAGUAGCAGCACCGGGGGUGGGGGGUGGUACCCAGAGGAGCGAAGAGCACAGUAGCGUUUACACAGUUUGUCUCAGGCACAGCAUGGUGAAGCACCGUCCAGCCCAGCACCACUCACCGGCCCUCGGUCAGUCCGGUCUCACCAACCGUAGCUUCAGCGGUGAGUCGGAGACGAGGGGUGGACGGACGAGUGGACGGACGGAUCACACUGUACAGAAAAGAGAAAGGAGCUCCGGAGGAAGAGGAAGCACCAGGGAGGAGGAUUCUCUUUAUUUUCCCACAGACGGCACAUACAGUCCAUGGCCUGUGGAUUUUUCUUUCUAACAUAACGUGAAUGGCUUUUGUGACGUGUGCAUUUUUGGUGUAUUCUUUAACAAAAGGCAUUUCUAAUUGAUCUACAGCAAAAGGUAUUCUAUUCUAUACAGCAAAUGCCUCCUUAGUGUUGUCCUAGUGUUGUUCUAUUGUGGGAAACUUUUCUAAAACUCAAACUGAAGUCAGAAAAAUAAAAACACACUGAAACCUGUCGAAGCUUUUAUAGUAGAGGAGCACACAUUCUUUGCACAAAUAGUGUCUUUGAUCUUGCACAAUAUUCGCAAUAUUUGGCUAUAUAUUAGAAAUUAUUUAUGAUAGUCUAGCCACACAGGUGGAGGUCUUCCAACAUAAAGAACUAUCCAGCCCUGUUUGAGGAUGGGGAGACAAUGUGAAUCUUUUCUAGCUCUAUUUACACCAUGGACCAAAAUGUUGUCUUUUCAGUAUUUAAAUUGAUUUAUUUAUGUCUAUUUGUGAGAUACUGAUGGCUUGCUUCCAUUGCUCUAUUGUAAAGAAAAGUAUUAUUUUCCCGCCAUGGUAAGACAUAAGCAGAAGAUGGGAGAGGUGCCUAGCGUUUAAUCUGUCUUUCUCCAUGAGUUGAACAAAAGCAACUGUAGCAGAUGAUGCAAAUAAUAUUUGAGAAACUGUCUGAGCUGUCUGAGAAUAUUAAGACGUGAGGUCAGUGACAUGCGACCCUGCAGCUGCGAGGAAUUCGGCAUCUUGCUCACAGACACUUCAGCAGUGCAGGUGCUCGAAAACCUGCAUCUUCCGUGUGUAGCACAGUUUUCUAACCACCAGGCCACUCUUUAGAUCGACACCAUCGUCCUCACGGGAUGAGCUCACUUUGUAUAAGCUGAAACUCAAGGAGCAGAUAGGGAAUGCCCAGUUCUUGUUGUUUUCUCUUAUUAUAAGUCAAGCAUUUUCUAUCCUUACUGUGUAUGUGACCAACCGAGUUAAAUUUAGAUAUUGUUUAUGAAAUAAAAAGUAUUUUAAA